UACGAAGGUCCCAAGCGUUAUCCGGAUUUAUUGGGUUUAAAGGGUGCGUAGGCGGGCUAUUAAGUCAGUGGUGAAAGCCCCCGGCCUAACCGGGGAACUGCCAUUGAUACUGAUGGUCUUGAGUACAUUUGAGGUGGGCGGAAUGUGUCAUGUAGCGGUGAAAUGCUUAGAUAUGACACAGAACACCGAUUGCGAAGGCAGCUCACUAAACUGUAACUGACGCUGAGGCACGAAAGCGUGGGGAGCAAACAGG
rnacentral:rRNA from 1 species